rnacentral:rRNA from 1 species
UACGGGGGGGGCAAGCGUUGUUCGGAAUUACUGGGCGUAAAGCGUGCGCAGGCGGUUCUCCAAGUCCGGUGUGAAAGCCCCGGGCUCAACCUGGGAAUGGCAGUGGAAACUAGGGGACUUGAAUCUGGCAGAGGGGGGUGGAAUUCCACGUGUAGCAGUGAAAUGCGUAGAGAUGCGGAGGAACACCGAUGGCGAAGGCAGCCCCCUGGGCUGAGAUUGACGCUCAGGCACGAAAGCGUGGGGAGCAAACAGG